GAUGCAUCAACUGGGCUAUUCGGAAUAGUUUGACUUCGCACUUCAUUCUGUUCUCCGUGAUAUAUCCAUGGGUUAUAUGUUGUUACCAUGCCAUUUUUCAAUAAAUGGAUCUUGACCACGGUUAAAGGGUGUGAAUUUGUGUUAUUGCACUUCAUGCACGGACAUGAGAUCUGAUUAUUCGCAUUCACAUGAUGCUUCGCAACCUCAAGAAAAGAGUUAACCCCUUCUUUAAACGCAUUAGUAAACCGAUAAUUUGGAUCUGAACCCCACUGAAUCCACGCCCUAUCCAUUCUUGUUGCGUCAAAUUAUUAAGAAGCUUUCGCUGCUCCUCACUGAAUUCAAAAGAGAUUGAUUGAGAUAUGGGACUGCCCGUGAGAAGAAACAAACAAUCAAAUUCCAAACUCAAUGUUUAUUGCUUUUUGUUAUUGUUGUUUCUGUUAUUUAUAUUUUUUUCUUUUUCUUUUUCCGUGAAGCUGGAGAAUUCCCAGUCGGGCCAACAUAUCUUUUCCUUUGUGAAAUAGGUUUUAUGCAGGACCUAAUCCUAGAGCUAAUCUAAAUCUUGGACAUAUUCCUUUUUAUUAUUAUUAUUAUUAUUUUGGUUCUGAAACCUCUUCUACAAUUUCUCUCCGUCCCGCACACUCACCGCCCGCCACCCCCUCUCUCAUGGCCCCCUUCAUCAUCGGAGCCUCCGGAGAAAUUUUUCCGUCAAUUGAUGGACUUCGAAAGCUCGUCCGCUAAUUUACCAGAUGCCCACCCUUCUCAAUGAGAUUUGGAACCCCAACCCCAAUCUCAAAUGCCCACUCUUCUCUUUGAAAGGUAUGACUGAUACAGGCUGUAUCAUACAGCCAAGUUCAUUUGCAGGACUGAUGCCUCAGGCUAGUUACGUACCCCGUUGUAUGGAAUCUAACACCUUCGGGAUAUGAAAUCAGGUAGGUUCUGAACUUGAUUCUUCAUCUGGGCAUUAUAAUUUUUUGCUUGUAAUCCCUAGAUUGUGUAUGUACGUGAAGGAGGAAUGGAGGAUAGCAAUCUGAAUUUGGUUUCUUUUCCACUGUUCUUUCUCUUCAAUCUGGAAUGAAGGAGCAUUUUGCCCAGAUAAUGCGAUUGAAGAAGGAGCAUUUUGCCCAGAUAAUACGUACACCACUGGAAAAAAAAAAAAAAAAUUACUAUUUCAUGAACCUUUAUACCAAAAUGAUUGAUUCUAAGCAUACUCCAGAUCGUCUUACUUUCCA